UUGUGAUCCAUUCUACUAGCCUGUGUCUCUUAAUUGGUGAGUUUAAGCCAUUAAGAGACACAGGCUAGUAGAAUGGAUCACAAAA
rnacentral:miRNA from 1 species